AAAGAUAGCAAUCCACAAAGGAAUUAAAUACUGAUCCCAACAAAAGCCACCCUAUAUUAAUCUACAAAAGCAAACAGCCUACACAGCAGCAAUGGAAGCUUUUCUCGCCUGCUUUUCCCUCUCUGGACCUGGAGAAGCAGCUAUUUUAAAGACUCUUCUGGUACCACUGAGAGUGUGAACUUUCAUAGACGCUAAUGUGAUUCACUCCAAAGAAGCUCCCAGAUCUAAAAUACUAAUCUUAAGAGUCAGAUGAGAGCUUACUGCCGCAGUGGAUUCCAAAAGCAAGCCUGCAUGAGAUCAGGAGUUAGCUGAUGCUGGAGUGUCUGCCUGCACCUACAGUUGCAGCAGGGAUGUGAAGCAAAGUACAUCACACUGCAAUGAGGAAGCAUAACAGGGUUACCUGGUCAAAGAAGUUAGCUCCAGUUGGAUGUGGCAUUCAUGAUACUUCAUUUGUGAUAUGGGAGGCUCAGGACUUGUUCAUAUAACAAGAUCAAUGUCUGAGAUUCAAUUUUUUCACUCUUUUGUGGGAUCUCAGAAAAAGGUAAAACGUUAUU